AAGUCGUAACAAGGUUUCCGUAGGUGAACCUGCGGAAGGAUCAUUACCAAAUCCAAAAUCCUUCAACCCCUUGUGAACUAUGAUUUAAUUUAUUGUUUGUCUUUGGGGAGUAAUGAAAUAAAAUUUUGUUUGAAAGAAUAGAAUUUUUUAAGUAUUUACUCCCCAAAAGAGUUUCCCUCCCUCCACUUUCGGGUGUGGGGGAAAAAACUCACCAUGUUUAAACUACUUUUUAUAACCUUUUUUUUGGAAUGCUUUUAUUUUUACUAAUAAAAGACAACUUUUAACGGUGGAUCUCUUGGCUCGUG
rnacentral:misc_RNA from 1 species